GAGUUUGAUCCUGGCUCAGAUUGAACGCUGGCGGCAUGCCUUACACAUGCAAGUCGAACGGCAGCACGGGAGCUUGCUCCUGGUGGCGAGUGGCGAACGGGUGAGUAAUGCAUCGGAACGUAUCCUGGAGUGGGGGAUAACGUAGCGAAAGUUACGCUAAUACCGCAUAUUCUGUGAGCAGGAAAGCGGGGGACCUUCGGGCCUCGCGCUCUUGGAGCGGCCGAUGUCGGAUUAGCUAGUUGGUGAGGUAAAGGCUCACCAAGGCGACGAUCCGUAGCAGGUCUGAGAGGAUGAUCUGCCACACUGGAACUGAGACACGGUCCAGACUCCUACGGGAGGCAGCAGUGGGAAUUUUGGACAAUGGGGGCAACCCUGAUCCAGCCAUGCCGCGUGAGUGAAGAAGGCCUCGGUUGUAAGU
rnacentral:rRNA from 1 species